CCCAGGCUGGGACUGUGGGGGGAGAGGCAGUGCUCAGCCUGGGAGUCAGUCCCUGACAGAGCCAUGGCCUUCGGGGGGCCUGAACCCUGGGUCCCUACCUCCCUGCUGGGCCAGAGGCUGAAGACCGAGGAAAAGACGCCGGACCUGGAGUUCACGGGUUCUGCAAGAACGAUGGACAUCACGAUGCACAGCUGCGGGUGGAGGCCCUGACGCUGGGCGGGGCCUCAGGAAGUGAGGUCUGGCGUGUGGGCGAGGCCAUCUUCCCCAUCUACCCACGCCCAGACCAACCCCGCAUGAACCUUUCAGCUCAGGAGCACAAGGACCUCUAUCGCUACUGCGGCAGCCUGGCUCUGCUCCGUGCCAGUACAGACCCCACUGCCCGCCACUGCGGGGGCCUGGCUUACAGCGUGGCCUUCCGCGUGCACGGGUCCCUCAGCCUCGCACCUCAAACAGCCCUCUGGGGCCCAGCCCACCAGAGUCACCAUGGCCAGAGCCCCCGCUGCCCAGGCUGCAGGCCUGGCCUCUCCGGGAGACAAGAUGCCACACUGAGACCACAGCAGUCACUGGAUGUCAAGGGGAAGCAGCGAGGCCUACCCUGGAUGAAAGGAUGAGAAUUUCUACUUUGUACCUGCUCUGCCACCUUCCAGCUAUGGGACUCAACCUCUCCGUGCCUUCUUUCUUCAUCUAUAAAAUGAGGCUGAUGAUAAUACUCUCCUGACAGGGUUGUUCAAUUGAAUGUGCAGUAAAUUUAAAUAUACUAAAUGCUCACCAAAGAUUAGCCAUGAUCAUCACGUGGAGGGAAUGGCAGGUUGCCAGGGAGACAAGUUGAAGGGCGGAGUCUAAGCAGAGGGAGCAGCCUAGGCAAAGGCCCAGAGGCUUGAGAGAGCAUGGUUUCUUCCGGAACUCAGGGGAUGGCAAAGGGUGGUGAGUAUGAGGGCAAGUGAGCAGCCGGCCAUGGAGACACACCAGGGAGAGAGGGGGCUGGGUGUGCCCCACCCCUCACUGCAGCAGGAGGAUAGCCCAUGAAUCAUCGUUGGGAGGUGUGGGGGGUGUGGGCCAUUUGGAGCUGAGGCCCUCGGGUGGGAUGGUGGGGGGGGUGGAUAUUAUUUUAAUCUUCCUCUUAAAGCAUAAUUGCUUUUUGUCUGCGGGUGUUCCGGGAGGUGCCUCCCUGUGAGAUUGCUUUCCAGACCCCACUUCUCCAAGAGACAAGCAGGGCCAGGCCAGCUCCACGCUGCAUUAAUACACUGCAAAUGCGAUUUCAUGGCCUCAAAUGAGAUUAGGGCCAGAGGCUCUGCUCUCUGUAGAGACGGUGAAGGAGUGGGCGAGCAGCAGCACAGGGCAGAGAACCUGCGAGGGAGGGAAUGAGGGAUCCCAGGCAACUGGGCCCCAAUAAGCAGUUUCCUGUAACUGGAGCUCCUUGGACCCGUGGCCCAUCCCAGCUGCAGAGCCAGCCCUGAGGCCCUGUCCCCGUGCAGGGGGUGUUCCGGGCUGUCUCCCCCAGCCCCAAGCUCCCCACAAACACCCCCAGAAUGGAGAGGGCUGUGAUUACAAACGCAGCCUCUACAGCCAGUUGGCCUGGUCUGAAGCUGGGCUCUUCUGCCCCUGGUUCUGCUGUUUUCUCAUCUAUGAAAUGGAG